GAUGAAGAACGUAGCGAAAUGCGAUAAGUAGUGUGAAUUGCAGAAUUCAGUGAAUCAUCGAAUCUUUGAACGCACAUUGCGCCCCUUGGUAUUCCAUGGGGCAUGCUUGUUCGAGCGUCAUUUGUACUCUCAAGCUCUGCUUGGUGUUGGGUGUUUGUCCUUUCCCUGCGUUAGGACUCGCCUCAAAUUCAUUGGCAGCCGAUAUAUUGGUUUGAAGCGCAGCACAAUUUGCGAUUCGGGCUGUUUAUUGUUGGCGUCCAGUAAGCACAUUUAACACUUUUGACCUCGGAUCAAGUAGGGAUACCCGCUGAACUUAAGCAUAGCAAUAAGCGGAGGA
rnacentral:misc_RNA from 1 species